rnacentral:lncRNA from 1 species
GAUCUGGAUCUAGGGUUUUUCUCCAUCACGUUUCUACUACUCCAAUUCCUCAUGGAAAUCAUACAGUCCUCUCAAAAUCAAACAGUCCUCUCAAAAUCAAACUCAAGUCUAGGUUUUGAACGUCACGGAGAGUUGAAGAUGAUGCAAGCAGCUGUUUUAAUUGGUGGUGGUUAGCAACGAUAGAGAUGGUGGUGGUCUGCAGCGUAUGGUGUUAAUGGUUAGCGUCAACAGAUUCUGGUGACCCAACCUAGGGUUUAAAGCAUCGACCAGAUUCUGGUAGCCCUAUCUAGGGUUCUGACCAUAACCCCAAUCCGGUGAAAGCUGUAGAUCUGAUUAAUGAAGAUAUUCUAAAAGAACAAAAUAUGUGAAGAAAGAGUAUAAGGAAAUCCAGGAGGGUAGUUCUCUUUUUAUACAACUACUGUAGUUGUUCAGCAUAACCCCCCCCCCCACACACACACACACAUGUGAGAGGUGAUAUUGGCCCGUUUACCUUUAAAAUGGGUCGAUUUGGGUUCAGUUUUGGUGGGCUGAGUUGCAGGUCACAAGGUAGAGGUUGUGGUGAUAUUUGUGCAGUUCAGAACAGGUCAGGUUGGGGUAUUGGGACCUGGAUGUGGGGAAGAUGAGUCGUUUCUGAUGGUCAAUCUACUGCUUAUAGAAGUUAUGUUGAAAGGUUCAUGGCCCUUGAUGAACUUUAGUCUGUUCCAAACUCAAAGAGCCUGAAGAUCGGUGACCUUUGGUGGCAAUGGUCAUGAAGAAGCUAUGGUAGCAGUCGGAAUCAAGACUAGAUGGAAGUGGUUUUGGGUUGCUAGGGUUCUGUCAUGAACCCAGGCAGUGCUGACACCUUAGAAGAGCUCGAAGAUGAUUAGGGGUUAAUUCCAGGUAGUCAAGAACAUAAUAAGAUCGAUGGCUCCUUUCAUCCAGUUUCGGUCGUUCAUCGGGUGCCGCUACGAAACCAAAGACGGUUGGGCAUUGUCUCUUCACUCUUGAAUUAUCAUUCGUAGCCUUUAUCCAGUUUCUGUUUGUCGAUUUGUAUGGUCGUGGAUUUGGCAAUUAACACUAACUAAAACAAUGCCGGCUAUUAUGGUAUGUCUCCAGGUCUGAUUCCUUUCAUUGCUGAUAUACAUUCUGAACACAGGUAACUUUAAUUUCAAUCAUUAGUGCAGCAGUCCGGUUUGUCGAUUGUUCAUUGUUACCGUCUAUUGGUUUUUAGAUACUAUUUUCUAAGCGUGUUUGGUUGAUUGAAUAGACUUGAUUUAGAGUUUGGGCAAAGGGGUUGUUUUGUGAUUUUUCUAUUAUGUAAUGUUAUAAUAUGAUUUGAAGUUACUAAGUUCAAUACAAAAUUUUGGGUUAUAAAUUAGCUAAACUGUCGUUUGGAAUGGUCUAUUUGUCGACUGCUUAUUCGGAUUGAUUAUCUGCUUAUUGUGUUUUGAUGCAGAAAUAACAUGUUUUGAGGGCGUUUGGAUUGGUUAAUUAAACUUUCUUAUGUGUUUAGUUGUGAGUGAAAUAAAAGUUAUUUUCAACACGCGGUUUGAAGUUGUUUAUUCCAAAUUGCUUAUUAUAACCGGAUAAAAAGUUUUAAUAGGUAAUCCCAAACACCUGUAGUGUUGAAUUGUGUUUAACUAUGAACUGUUGGUUCUGGUGCAGUGGAUAGAUAAGGAAGGAUAGACUGCAGAUGGAGCUGAUGCAGAUGAAGAUAGAAUUGAAUUGCUACUGAAGGAAGGCAAGGGUAAAGAUACCGUAGAACUAAUUACUUCGGGAAGGGAAAAGUUUGCUUCAGUUUCGUUCCAUCUGGUGGUGGUGGUGUUGCAGUUGCUGGUGGUGUUGUGCUUGCUGUUGUUACUGUAGCUGAGGCAGAGAAGGAGGAGAAGGCUGAAGAUAAGAGGAAUAUGAUGUUGUAAGCUUCUUUAACAUUUUAUGUGUUUUCUUCAGUUUUAGUAUUUUUUUCGGAUCACAUGUUCCAAGUUUUAUUCGUUAAAGAUAUUCUGGUAUAUAUUCAAUAGGAAAUAUAAUUAUCAAGU